UCACCUUUGCUGUGCAUUGGUUCCGAAAGGAAUAAAAGGGAAUCUGGUGAAAGACCAGAACUGUACCCGCAACUGUAAAUGCUCAUAAUGCUUGAAUUAAAAAGCCAUUGUUUUAAUGAGAAGGCAAUUCAAGAAAAGAGCAAAGUCAGGAGACCUACCAAGCAAAUAUAUUUUGA
rnacentral:ncRNA from 2 species